rnacentral:rRNA from 1 species
CCACUCAUCAAGGGUGCAUGACCAUAAAAGAUAUUACUGAUAUAAAUAGAACAACCAUUAUUCUCUGAUUUAAAUAAAUAACCGUCUCGCAUCAAACAAGAUCCAGAUAUAAUCUUCAUGCUCAACGCUGGCACCAAAUAACAAUUAUUUAGGUCUAAAACUAAUCCCAACGGUAGAUGUAGAGGUAGCGUGCUGACGGUGAUCACAUCGAUUUUGGAACCAUUUUUCAUGCGCAUCGUCACCUCGUCCUUAGCCAAUCUUCACUUAAUCCGUAGCCCCUGUUUCGAGAUGCAAAUAUGAGCAACAGAACCAGUAUCAAAUACCCAGGCGCUACUACGAGAAUUAGUAAGGUACACAUCAAUAACAUGUAUAUCAAAUAUACCUUUCACUUUGCCAUCCUUCUUAUCCGUCAAAUACUUGGGGCAGUUCCGCUUCCAGUGACCAGUCCCUUUGCAGUAGAAGCACUCAGUCUCAGGCUUAGGUCCAGACUUGGGCUUCUUCACUUGAGCAGCAACUUGCUUGCCGUUCUUUUUGAAGUUCUCCUUCUUCACUUUUCCCUUUUUCUUGAAACUAGUGCUCUUGUUAACCAUCAACACUUGAUGCUCCUUCUUGAUUUCUACCUUUGCAGCCUUUAGCAUCGCGAAGAGCUCGGGAAUUGUCUUAUCCAUCCCUUGCAUAUUAUAGUUCAUCACGAAGCUUUUGUAGCUUGAUGGCAGUGAUUGAAGAACUCUGUCAAUGACACUAUCAACAGGAAGAUUAACUCCCAGUUGAUUCAAGUGUUUGUGGUACCCAGACAUUCUGAGUAUAUGUUCACUGACAGAACUAUUCUCCUCCAUUUUGUAGCUAUAAAACUUAUUGGAGACUUCAUAUCUCUCAAUCCGGGCAUUUGCUUGAAAUAUUAACUUCAACUCCUGGAACAUCUCAUAUGCUCCAUGACGUUCAAAACGACGUUGAAGUCCCGGUUCUAAGCCGUAAAGCAUGGCACACUGAACUAUCGAGUAGUCAUCAGCUUUGCUCUGCCAGACGUUCAUAACGUCCAGAGUUGCUCCUGCAGUGGGUUUGGCACCUAGCGGUGCUUCCAGGAUGUAAUUUUUCUGUGCAGCAAUGAGGAUAAUCCUCAAGUUACCACCCAGUCCGUGUAGUUGCUACCAUCAUCUUUCAACUUAGCUUUCUCUAGGAACGCAUUAAAAUUCAAAGGAACGGUAGCACGGCCAUUGAUCUACAACAACAAAGACAUGCAAAAUACUAUCAGGUACUAAGUUCAUGAUAAAUUAAAGUUCAAUGAAUCAUAUUACUUAAGAACUUCCACUUAGAUAGACAUCUAUAUCUAUCUAUCUAUAUCUAUACCUAUACUAAUUACAGACUCCCUAGAAAUUACCACGUUAAUUAGUAAUUAAGAACCGUACAUCUGGUGGGACCGAGUUAUUACGGUGUAGAUAAAUCCGAGUACAACAGAAAGCGAAAAAAAGGGACAUGUGAAAUUUGGCCUCAGAGUUUGACACAAAUUGCGCACUAUGCCACGGGCAAGUGGAAAAAACAAUUUGUUUUAUUUACCAUCCGUGCUAAUCUUCCUCUUUCUUCCUCUUCUCUCAGGCCCAUUCUUUAUCCCAUCUGCUUGCAGCGUCCCUAAAAAAAUCCCCUAGCAGCAUACAUCGUGCGCCUCCGCCGCCAGCCCACAACGGAGUCCCGGCCGCCGGCUCCCCGGUGCUCUCCGCCUCCCCGAAAGGCCGUUUCUCACCACCUUCCCGUACUCGCCGGCUCUUCGCACCUCCGAGGUCUCAGCUCUCCCAAAGAUCCUCUCCAACUCGGAGUUCCUCGCGUAGGGCACCGGCUCACACCGGCGUGCGGAGGCGAGGCAUGCCGCCGCUCCUCCGACCAGCCAACCAUAGCGGCGUGGCUCCUUUGACAAGCGGAGGGGCUCUCCUCUCCCACUGGUCGGCCUUGACUUCGACUCCUACAGCUGCACCUCGACUUCAGGUCACACCGGCCAGCAUUCUCCAUUGCCAAAUCUUAACCAUACCGAGUUCCUCCGACCAUCGUCGUGAAUCUCCAAUCAGAUAAGUCAGCCUUCAUGUGUAUCGCCCUUUAUAUCUCCACUCCGUUCCUCUUUGUUUUGAUAUAUAUCUCCACUCUGUUCUGAUUGUCAGGAAGAAGGUGGAUUGGUGGCCGUUUCCAGUAUGUACAUGGGACGACAACGGUUGGUUCCUUGGUUGAAGGAUGCAAUGCAUCUCGCUGAAUUGCAAGUUGUACUAUUUUGGGUCUGCCUAGAUACCCAAGCAGGGGAGAUAAAAGCUACAAGUUGGGAAGAAAAGCCAGGGAUGAUUCUCAGUGGUACUCUUUACUUGGUAUUUGAUGAUUACUCUUUACUUGGUACAAGGUUCUUGAUGAUUUUAAUAGUCUGACCCUGCUGUAGAAAGCACUUCACAUACAUGCCUGGAUGUGUUCGAGAUGCAUUGCAGUGUGUAUUCAUAGGUGGCCACGAAGGGCGACUAAAAGUAAUUCUGGGGAUCGAAAUCAGAUCGAGAUGCAUCUGCCUGAAUAUAAAAUAUAAGGCAAAGUUCAAUGUGUGCCCCAUCAUUGGCCCUGAUCUCUCUAUCUUCUUAGCCCUCCCAGUGCCCGGCCACUUUCAGUGGUUCUCCACUAAUUUCUCCUCUUUACCAAUCGAAUACGUUCAUCUAAUUCAUGUUUUAUAACAAAAAGAGGGGCCAUGCAGAUUAAUUCUUUACAUCGGCUCAAGUCUUAUUACUAGAAAUUGAUCUUUCUUCUCAAUUGAUUUAUCUAAUGUGGUUGUAGGACUUGCAGCCAAUAUAAAGAGAAGGAGAUUUUUCUUCCAAAUGCUAUAGUUGCACUUCACAUCAUUGGGAUCGUGGAUGUUGAUACCAAUUGGAUGUGCUCCCGUGUUGUCCCAAGUGCAGCAAUUUCUCGCUGAUGCAUCAGGCAAAGAUUUUUUUACCCAAAAGGCAAAGAUACAUAGCUAGCAGUUUAUCAGCGGAUGACUCUUGCUUUGUUGAUUGUUGUGCUUAAUCAAUAUCCUUACAGGUAACUCACAUGCCACCAUGAUCCAGUAUGAUAUUUGUUCAAAUGUAUAACAUACAUAUCUAUUUUUUCUUUCUAUGCUUGCACAUCUCCGAAGUCUAGACCAGAAUGCUGCUUUUAAUUAUGUUGGCUAUGCAUGCAUGUAAUGUGUGUUGUACAACUAUUUAGUAAAGCGUUCAUUGUAUUCUUUGCACAUGCCAUUUCCAACCUCUUCGAAAGCAUAUAUGUCAACCUGCUACUAAUCCAUACGUUUUAUAUACUUACAUUACUAUAUUUAUAAUUUAUUAUUAUUUUGGAACAGUUUCUGGGUAUAUCAGGACGUACCAAGUCAGUUUGAUAGAACUGAUUUGUGAACCCAGAUUAAUUGCAGAGCCAUACCUAAUUUUCAAAAGACUUGAGGGCUUUAAUAGACAGUGGGGCCUUUUUCCUCUAAUCAAUGUAGAAGUAUUUGAUCUUGCCUCAAAAAAGGUUACAUUGCCCUAGAUUAUAUGUGAAAAUUUAGUUAGCUUAUUUGUGUAUAAAUUAUGAAGAAUAAAACUAUGUUAUAAUCUGAAAAGAAAAUGUAUAGAGACAAGUAGAAAGUAAUGUGGAUUCGAACUACCCCGGUUAUAUAUUAAGACUAUUACAUCAUUGACCUUGCCGCGAACUCUGGAUAUUCUCGACUCUAGGUCCACAAAGUUCGUGUAUGCCAUACCUCUAAAAGUAAUGUUAGUGUUAUGAUUCAUUAGUAAAGCUUCUCCUCUAUUCAGAUUGAAUCUGAGAAGCCUAACAGCGAGCAAAUUCCUCUGUGUUGCUUCAGUUAUAUGGCUCGAGCUGGCCAAACCUGAAAACUUCAGUGAAGAGUGAAAGUACAUCUAAAGUACUUUCUGUUACCUACAAUCCUAUUACUUGAUUUUUAUGCUACUGUGCGUAUGGGUGAAUCUGCAAGAUGAUGCAAAAAUUUGCUUGCAGAUAGCAUGUGUGUAUGUGUACAGAUAUGCAUGUUGUAUGUUUAUAUCAAUUUUGCAACAUUGAUAUUUGUUCAGAUGGUUCUAAAUAGUUCUUCAGUGAAGAUUAAGAGUACAUCUACAUUACAUUUUGUUGCCUACCCUAUUAAAUGAUUUUUUUUGCUAAUUGUGUGUAUGGGUAAAUCUGCAAGAUGAUGCAAAAAAUUGCUUGCAGAUAGUCUGUAUGUGUACACAGAUGCUUCUAAGCAGUGCUCUAGCAGAAUAGUGCUCCCCUUUCCUUACUGUUGUUGCUAAAUAUUUGUUUUUUGUGGCAUAUGAGGACUGAACAGUAUCAGGCCAUCGACCUCACCCUGGGAGUCCACUUCUUCACGGUCACGACAUCCACCUUGACAUCCCUAUUUUGUGUUGUUUAGUUGCAUGUGGUUCAUGCAAACUUCCUGAAGCAUUUUAUUGAAAUUGGAUAGAACUGAGAAAAUCUAUGUAUACGUACAAUUUUGUUUUCCUUUUUCUAGCAGUUGAGUUCCAGAGACGAAUGGGGAUUGGGGAGGUGAACUUUGAGCUGGAACUCUCUAUGUGUUCUUGCAAUCAUAAUGCCGGGGGAUUAUAAGACAACAUACAGUUUGUUCAUUUUCUUUUGGAGUUCAUUCGCCGCGAGGAAAAAAUCUACUUGCUGCCUGAGAACCAAAGCCACAAUAGAUCAAGUUACUUGGUCGGAAGAAAUUGUCAAGGGCUGCAGCUUACACAUGAUCGGGGGUGGCGAUCUUAGUCUAUCUCACCUGAGUUACAUGUUAUAAAAAAUAGUAUAGAUGUAGAACAACCUACAGUAUAAUUGUACGUCUCAACUAUCUGUCAUAUGUCUUACUAACAUACCUUUUUUUGAACCGGUCUUAUUAUUAUAUUUUUUUGAAGCGGUCUUACUAUUAUACUCCCUCCGUUUCCAAAUAUAUGUCUUUCUAGAGAUUCC